rnacentral:rRNA from 1 species
AUUGAACGCUGGCGGCAGGCCUAACACAUGUAAGUCGAGCGAGCGGCGGACGGGUGAGUAAUGUAUGGGGACUGCCCGAUAGAGGGGGAUAACUACUGGAAACGGUAGCUAAUACCGCAUACUAUCGGAUAACCCAUAUGGGAUUAGCUAGUAGGUGAGGUAAUGGCUCACCUAGGCGACGAUCCCUAGCUGGUCUGAGAGGAUGAUCACCCACACUGGGACUGAGACACGGCCCAGCCUCCUACGGAGGCAGCAGGGGGGAAUAUUGCACAAUGGGCGCAGGCCUGAUGCAGCAAUGCCGGGUGUAUGAAGAAGGCCCUAGGGUUGUAAAGUACUUUCAGUCGGGAGGCGUUACCGACAGAAGAAGCACCGGCUAACUCCGUGCCAGCGGCCGGGGAAUUC